AGCUUCAAAAUUAAUAUUUGAAUAUGGAAUACAUACAUACAUACAUACAUACAUACAUACAUACCUAAGAAAGUCUGAAAACAGGUAAAGACCGCAAAAAAGGGCUAUAUCCUGUCAAAUUCCUUGUGUGCUUAACUUAGCUUCGCAGUUAGCAACCUCCAACACCAAAUUCUCAUACAGAGAAAGAGAGAAGAUGGGGUGGGCAAGCAGAGCGGGGGAUUGGGCCUUUAAAGGGUUCACAGCGGGUCUAGGAUUGGCCACCAUUUACCUAACCGCCACUUUCUCUGUUAAUGUUUACAGAGGCCUAGCCUGGCACAACGCUCAAUCGAAAAUUGAGAAGCAGGGCUCGACUGAACAAUCCGCAUAACAUAGCUCCCGGCGGCAAGGGAACUCUGGUCUUAAAUUUGUCAAAAUUUGUGUCCUUAAAAUCACAAUUUACUUUAUUUUUAAUGUAUCACCAGAUGGACUUUGAGUUGAGUUUCAAGCUGAGGAUUCUUGGUCUUGGAGGUUUUUUUAUUUUUUUUUUGGUAUUAGUGUGAAAUAACUUCUUGAUUUCACUUUGAGAACUGAUGCAGAAAAAUUGUUCUUGUUUUCAGUUA